UCUCACGGAGACGUCGCGCUUACCCCCGCCCGUGUACCUGCCCGACCUCGCCUCCUCUCUCCGCAAAAUCAGCGAUUUAGUCCGUUCAAUUUGGAAGGUGAGCAAUCCACCGCUUCCAUUCUCCUCCGGAUCCGCGCCUACACCUCCCAUUUGCACUGCGGGGACGAGGGGAGGAGGGGUGGGAUGAUGGGCAGGGACACCGGUGAGGGACGGAGGGUAGGGCCGUGCCCGCGCGGUCGGCGAAGCGAGGAGCAGCACACCGGUGGCGAGGCGGAUGGUCGGGCCGACGCAGGGAGCCGUGCACCGGCAGAGGGGCGGAGGUGCAGCACGUCGCGGGUCGCCGCCAUAGCUGUAACGCCACCGCAGCGCCGCAGGCCUCUCCCACGUACCCUACCCAUUCCUUCCCCUCACCUCACAUCAUGGUGAAGCGCCGGGCGGCCCCCGCGGGGGAGCAGUGGCAGGCGUUGACAGCUGGCGAGAGGCGGCACCCCUUUCUCUCUCUGUAUGUGUGCCGUCGAUCCCUCUCUCUCUCUCUCGACCAGAUCGCAUCCCCUCCGUGCCGCCGUCCCCUCUCUCGCCCAGAUCCUGGGGUCGCCCGGGCCGCCCUCGCCGCCUAGCCGCCACGCCAGCGGCCGCUCGCCUCCACGCCCCGCCACCGUCACGGCCCCUCGCCGCCGCGUCCCGUCCGCCUUCACCAACUCCACCGCAUCACUCCCGUCCGUGCGGUAAGCAAUGACGCACCUGGGCAUCACGGCGACGGCGGCGGCCGCGCCUCAUCCUGUCAUUGCGACAUCAACGCCGCCUCAACGCCGAGAUGAUCGUCGCCUCCAUUCGUAGACCCGAGCGAGCUCUUGGGCAUCACGGCGACGGCGGCACCUGCGCCUCACAGGUGUCUUCGUCGACCGUCGAACUCCUUAGGCGUCAUUGUCGCCGGCGACACAUCGACGUCGAGCUCCUGGGGCAGCACGGUGGUGAUUGCUGCACCUUGCGCUAGAUCGGCCGCUUAGUGGUGGAAGCCAUGGCGGGCACGGGAUCGGCUAUCAAUUUGCGGGAUCACAUAGGGCACAAUGGUGCAGGGAGACGUCGCCGUGAAGCGCCAGUGGCAUCACGGCAGCGGCUGCUGCAGCUUCGUCACCGGCGAGCUGCGCGUUGACAUCCGUCUUUUGUUCCACACCCCAGUCUUGCAGGUAGCUCAAUGAUCAACUUCUACUGUAAAGUUGGGUUGGUGGAGGCUCCAGGGGCAGUGUUUAAGCAGAUGGAAGAGAGAUAUAUUGUCAAUUGGAAUUUGAUGGUUGCUAGGUAUUUUCAGGAUGGGAAGAUUGACAAGGCUUUUGAUACUUGUGGAAGAAUGAUGGAGACUAAUCUCAAGUUUGAUUGUGUGACAUUGGCGUCCAUUAUCGUGUCAGUUCUGAGGUACUAAAGCUUUUAGAUCAAAUGCAGUCGGAUUCAGUAAUUUACCCUUUUAUAAGAAAUGUCAGUUUGAAGAUGCUCUAAACUUAUCCAACUUGAUGCUUCUGACUAUAACACGCCCCAAUCUGAGCCUUUUAAUCAAUGGAUUAUCCCAAAAUUGCAUGCAUCAGGAGGUAUCGAAUCUAUAUUGCAAGAUGCAGGAAGUAGAGUCAGCAUCCAGUCCAACAAUCUAUUUAGAAGUGAUCGUCACUGUUAAAACUUAAAACUGCAGCUUCUGUACAAAAGGUGAUUCAAGGAUGCAUUGUUAAAAAGGGCCUGUUGCUGUCCAAAUCAGUGAUACAAUUGCUUCUGAACAUGGCUAGUAGUUUUGAUGAUGGAGGUAUACUGGACAGUUUAGUAAGAUUGCUAGCUGAAUGCUGUAAAUGACAGAAAUGGUCCCGAUAAUCUGGCACAUAAAGCUGUACACAUACUGACAUCACUCAUCUUUAUUGGUGUGGUUGCGAAGUAAAUAUCCACUGUCCCUAACACAUACAGGUCUAUGUGCAGUAAAAUCACUAACAGGCUUAUGUUGACAUCUCUGAUAUGGUAUGGACUUGCACCAAAUGGAGAGGAAUUUUCUAGAGGUCAGAAGGUUCCAAUCAGAAAACAGGCACCUUGUAGAGCGCGGACAAGCAAGAAAAUAAUGCUGCUAUUUGUGUUGCCACAGAGCUUGCUCUGAAGCCUUGCAGUUUACAGGGUCUGAAUAAGAAGCAUCCCAAUUUUCAUAAAUGGUUUGUGUUCAUCAUCAGUUCUUGUCAAGCAAAUAUCUACUGUUGCCAACAUAAACAACUUUGUAUGCAUUAGCAUAUCUUACAGGCGUAUGUUGCCAUCUCUGAUAUGGAGUUGAGUCGGGAUCUGAUUCGAGUGGCAUGUUCAGAAAGUUCCAAUCAGAAAACAACACUUUUAAGAGCCGGAGCAGCGCACAAACAGUGGUGCUGUUUGUGCUAGCACAGAGCACCCUCUGAAGCUUGCGGCUACUGAUGUUUGAAUUAUUUCUAGGAAAGAGCAUAUUGUUUGGCUUAUAAAUCCAUAUCAGGUUGACUGUUGCAAAAUGUUGUGAUGGCUGCUCAGUUAGCUCAAUUUGGGAUCAGACUCUGCGUUUUGUGCUGGCCCUUUUGGGAAUCAAAGUCAAAAUCUGUACUAAUCACUGCAGUUGUUCUUUUCACAGUUCAUCGAUAGAUUAAGUGUACAUGCAUACUGUGAAAAUGUAAUUAUUUCCUUAUACACAUUCUCUUGAUAAAGGAACAGUAGAAGAAUUUUCAGAUGAUAAAGAGUUCUCUGAUAUACUGUUACUUUGUCAGUGUGCCAAUCAAUUUUCCAUAUCUGCAAGAUGGGCAUCAACUCCUUUAGAAAAAGGUUUUCAGUAGGCUCCUGCAUUUUCAUGGGUUCCGUUC